rnacentral:rRNA from 1 species
CCUACGGGGGGCAGCAGUGGGGAAUAUUGGACAAUGGGGGCAACCCUGAUCCAGCCAUGCCGCGUGUGUGAAGAAGGCCCUCGGGUUGUAAAGCACUUUCAGUGAGGAAGAACGCCUGGUGGUUAAUACCCAUCAGGAAAGACAUCACUCACAGAAGAAGCACCGGCUAACUCCGUGCCAGCAGCCGCGGUAAUACGGAGGGUGCGAGCGUUAAUCGGAAUUACUGGGCGUAAAGCGCGCGUGGGUGGCUUGAUAGCCGGUUGUGAAAGCCCCGGGCUCAACCUGGGAACGGCAUCCGGAACUGUCAAGCUAGAGUGCAGGAGAGGAAGGUAGAAUUCCCGGUGUAGCGGUGAAAUGCGUAGAGAUCGGGAGGAAUACCAGUGGCGAAGGCGGCCUUCUGGACUGACACUGACACUGAGGUGCGAAAGCGUGGGUAGCAAACAGGAUUAGAUACCCUUGUAGUC